CCUACGGGAGGCAGCAGUGGGGAAUUUUGGACAAUGGGCGCAAGCCUGAUCCAGCAAUGCCGCGUGAGUGAAGAAGGCCUUCGGGUUGUAAAGCUCUUUUGUCAGGGAAGAAACGGCUCCAGCUAAUAUCUGGGGCUAAUGACGGUACCUGAAGAAUAAGCACCGGCUAACUACGUGCCAGCAGCCGCGGUAAUACGUAGGGUGCAAGCGUUAAUCGGAAUUACUGGGCGUAAAGCGUGCGCAGGCGGUUUUGUAAGUCUGUCGUGAAAGCCCCGGGCUCAACCUGGGAAUUGCGAUGGAGACUGCAAGGCUUGAAUCUGGCAGAGGGGGGUAGAAUUCCACGUGUAGCAGUGAAAUGCGUAGAGAUGUGGAGGAACACCGAUGGCGAAGGCAGCCCCCUGGGUCAAGAUUGACGCUCAUGCACGAAAGCGUGGGGAGCAAACAGGAUUAGAUACCCUGGUAGUCCACGCCCUAAACGAUGUCUACUAGUUGUCGGGUUUUAAUUAACUUGGUAACGCAGCUAACGCGUGAAGUAGACCGCCUGGGGAGUACGGUCGCAAGAUUAAAACUCAAAGGAAUUGACGG
rnacentral:rRNA from 1 species